GACGAACGCUGGCGGCGUGCUUAACACAUGCAAGUCGAACGAUUAACCCGGAGCUUGCUCCGGUGGAUUAGUGGCUAACGGGUGAGUAACACGUGAGUAACCAGCCCUUGACCCUGGGAUAACUGCGGGAAACUGUAGCUAAUACCGGAUACGACCCUCGGCGGCACCGCUAGGGGGUGGAAAGAAUUUCGGUCAAGGAUGGACGCGCAGCCUAUAAGCUAGUUGGUGAGGUAACGGCUCACCAAGGCGACGCCGGGUAGCAUGCCUGGGAGGAUGAACGGCCACACUGGGACCGAAGCAGGGCCGGGUCUGCAACGUGAGGCGGAAGUGGGAAAUAUUGCACAAGGGGCGCAAGCCUGAUGCAGCAACGCCGCGUGAGGGAUGACGGUCUUCGGGUUGUAAACAUGUUUUAGUAGGGAAGAAGCGAAAGUGACGGUACCUGCAGAAGAAGCACCGGCUAACUACGUGCCAGCAGCCGCCGUAA
rnacentral:rRNA from 1 species